GACUUCCGGUUUGCAGCAGAAGUUCAUAUAUCGGUAGUUAAUCAACUUUUCUUAUUGAAAAAGAGACUGUAAAACUUUAAACUCCACAAUUAUUAAUAAAUUUUCAAUGUAUUACAUUUCAUAACUCUGGUUUCAGAGUCAAUCCAAAUAGUUUAGUAUCAGCGAUUUAUAUAAAUAGCGUGUUUGUAGACGGGUUCUUAUUUUGUUGCAAGUUGUCUAAUUAACAUGGAGAAAAUAAACAUCCUGCUGUUCAUCUGUCUGAUUUACUUCACUGAAUUUCCUUUCGUAACGGGUCAACCGUAUUGUAUUCCUACUGAUGUUAAUGGAGUUUGCCGUAUUUAUUGCGUAACAUACAGAAGAGAUUUGUGUAUAAAAAUUCCACCCUGCGUCUGUCCGAGUCUUCCUACCAAUGAAGAAUUACAGAAGGGAACACUGUAAAUGAACUCUGAAAAUCCUCGCUUUAUCAAUUUCUUGUUCGCAUUCGUCUUCCAAUUGUUGUACUUUUUCUGUUUUAAUUUAAGAUUUACUUUUAUGUUCUACUUCUGUUAUCCCGUGUAAAUACUAUAACUGUAUAUUCCUUACCGUUAGGCAUGCUCGUGUGCAACAAUUAUUAUUAAAUAAAUAAAUGAAAUUUCCUAUUCAAA